AAGCCGUGGUGAGGACACUGAUGAGUUCGAAACAGUUCCCAAGCUUCUCCAAAGCUUUCAUUUCUGUGCUGUGUGAAGCUUGAAAUCUGAUUUAUGAGCUU
rnacentral:snoRNA from 1 species